CAGUGGAUCAGUCAACAUAGCAACCUACGACAUUGAAAAGUCAGUGAACAUUGCUGGCAGUGAAAAAGCAAAAACUUGUAGAUCUAACGUCAAGCUCAAGUAUAUCACAUAGAGGAGAAGAUGAGUGGGAGUUGGGAAGACAGUACACACUGUGUGGAGAGAACGUGUGCAAGUAGACUCCUCGCCCCGAGCAAAGUAAUCAGUUUGGUUCGAGAGGACCCGUGGCU
ensembl:ncRNA C14F5.8 ncRNA